ensembl:lncRNA
UCCACAUAUAAGUAAUAUCUUAUGAUAAUUAUCUUUCUCUAUCUGAUAAUCUCUAAGUCUAUCCAUGUUGCUGCAAAAGGUGUUUCAUUCUUUUUAUGGCUGUGUAGUUCUCUUAAAUUUUACUAAAAAUAGUCCAUGUGAUCCAAUAAUCCCACCCUUUGGUAUAUAUCUGGAGAAAAUGACAAUUUGGAAAGAUCCAUGCACCCCAGUGUUCAUUGCAGCACUGUUUACAAUAGCCAAGACACGGAAACAACCUAAAUGUCCAUCAACAGAUGAAUGGAUUAAGAAGAUAUGGGGUGUGUGGGGGGUAUGUGUGUGUGUAUGUAUAUACACACACAUAUAUAUACAAUUUCUAUUCUAUGUAUUUUAUAAUUUUAUCUUCAUCUAAAUAUCACCCCCACAACUCAAUGCCUCCCCCAAAUUAGGUCGACUUUAAUUAUGAAAUCUCUCACUAUCUUCAUUAUUAGGGGAGUCUAAGGAAGUGAUGACACAAAGCUUCUGUGGCUCCUGAGUGAGCCCCUAGAUUCACAAUCCCUUGUGGGACUGAAAGGUUAGGAAUUGGAAAGAGACAGAUGACUCUGCAGUUCUUAGAAUGAAGGUUCCCAACCAUCCUGCUGCCUUCUUUCUCUCAGAUGAUCUUAACAAAAGGUUUUUUUUGUUUUUUUUUUUUUGUUUUUUUCUGCCUUUUCUUUUUCAGGGCUACACCCGCGGCAUGUGGAGGCUCCCAGGCUAGGGGUUGAAUCAGAACUGUAGCUGCCAUCCUACACCACAGUCCCAGCAACUCGGGAUCCAAGCCGUGUUUGCGAUCUACACCACAGCUCACAGCAACACCAGAUCCUUUCGACCCACUGAGGGAGGCCAGGGAUGGAACCUAUGUUCCCAUGGAUACCAGUCAGAUUCGUUUUUGCUGAGCCAUGAUGGGAACCCUUAACAAACGUUUCAAAGGCACAAACCUUUCCACGUCUUUUAUCUUCCCCUGAGUCCUGAAUAAGAUGAGAGAUAACAUCAUUCUGUCUAAGUGCAUUAGUCUUAGGAUUUCCCAGAUAAAUACCAGCCACCAUUUCCCUAUCAGAAAGGAAUAUUCCCUUUAUUUAGUUGAGUUUGGUUUCAUUGACUAUAAAAUAGGAACAAUAAAACCUGUUUCACAGAAUUGUGAGAAUUAACGAGAAUAAGAAUUUGGAGAGAGAGUGUUCAGGAUGGUUUCAAUUCAGAUCAAGUUUCGUCAUAGGGUACUUCCCCCCAUCAUCCAAAACUCAGAAACUAAAGAGACCUGGAUUCGGUAGCAAGCGAUAUGGAUCUAUAGAGAGCAUGUGGCCUUGUUCCUGACACGCAGAUGUCUUCCACAGCAUCAGUAGCCGUACCACUAUUACUACUGUUAUUAACUGCUGCUUCUGAUACCGUCGGUUUUUUUGUUUUGUUUGUUUGUUUGUUGUCUUUUUGCCUUUCCUAGGGCCAUUCCUCCUGGCAACGUCCAUAUGCCACGAGUGCGACCCUAAAAAGACCACACACACAAAAAAAGACUUAUGUAUCAAAUGCCGUUACAAUCUAACAUUGCCUGUGCCCCAAUAAAUUUAAACGCGGGAAGCACCUAGGAGACUUAAGAAGCCUCGUGGAGGAAAUGACGUCUGAAUUGAGUUUUGGAAAGGACUUGACCAGGUGGAGAAGCAAAGGGAAGACUUUCUAGGAGGAGGAAACAGUGUGUGAAAAGGCGCAAGAGCCUUUGACAUCGGAAGGAAUUUCCUCUUAUUGAGAAACAUUGAAUUCAGAGUAUAGGAUUGGUGGGGACAGAGAGAUGAAAAUGGUUUGGAGAACUGUUGGUUGAUAAUGCUAGGAUAGGUGGAGACCAGAACAUUAUAACCGCUUUAAAAAAGGCAAUAUCCUCUCUUAUCACAAAUAAGCGAAUGAAUGACUGCCUUUCCCUUCUAAAGUAGAAACUCAAACUCAUAGUAUUUAUGCAGAUGAGCAGCGAUCAGGCCAUAUUUAACACACACACGCCAAGUUACAUCCUGCAUCUUUUAGGCAAAAUAUUUUGCCCUCGAGACGACCUGGUCAGAUGGUGGAGAGCCAACACCAUUAAAGCAAAUGCCAGGCAAGAUGGCCAAAUGAGGCACAUCACCCCAAAACAAUAAAGGAAUGGCAGCCCAUCAUUUGACCCUUGGAAGAUGGCAGUCCUCAAACCAAGGUGCCAUCAUGCCUAGAACUUCUCUGAGCAUCCCCUGACCCAGGAUCCCUUGUUGCUGGUCUCAGGGCCAGAGGGUUGAGUACGGGAACAGAGGCUAUAAAAUCAGUUCCUCCUGCUUCCCAUAAGCCCCAAACUCACUUAUCCCAGAACUUCCUCCAUAUGAUAGGUGAAUUAGUGGAACAGAGGAUAGAAAUAAGCUGCUCCUGGACAUGAUGUUCACUGAACUAAAUCCAGCGGGAAUAAAAGAUCUUAGGUGGUGAGGAGCAGAGCCCAGAGCAUCAGAUGUGUUAAGAGAGUGUUGUGGUGUGUGACAAGGAGCCCCUGAGGGGGACGCUGCCCCAGAUUCACCACCGCUUACUCCAUCUCCUCCUGGCACCUCUCUCCAUCACAGGCAGUUUGGACAGGUGGCAGCUUCUGGAGUGUCAGCCCGAGAGGGGCCAUCGCUCCCAGCUCUGCAGCCUGUCUGCUCACAGUGCUGGAGAGUUGACCUUCACCAAUGCCUCAAUGACAGCAAGCCAGAGACGUCAAUAAAACUCAUUAUAAGUGAUAGCAGCCUUUAACGCAGCCGUGCGGGUCAGAGAAGUAAUUCCUCCAGCCCCUCCCACGCAGCUUUGGUGAAAUUAAAGUGGGGAUUGACAUUCUGACGAAUUUCCCAUUUCCUGCCUGUGUUUAUCAGGAAUCUAGGUCAUGACAGCUCCGCUCAUUCAUGUCUUCACUGGUAAAUGCCUUAGAAGGGCAAAGCUCAAAGUUUGCAGGCCCCCUCCUUUUCCUCCCUUCUCUGUGCUCUGUGCCUUACAGAAGAGAAAGUGUCACAAAGGACAAGCAGGCUGACACUAUGGUCUCAAGUGACUUCAGCACCUAGUCAAGAGGACACGCCUGGACUCUGGUGAUGUUCACACCUGCUGGCAUAAGCAAGGGGCUGAUUGGCCACAUGCCUGCCCUGAACAAAGCAGCAGUCACGGUCCAGCAUCAGCCAGGAAUCCAUUGUCAAUUUCCCCUUUUCCUAUUGACCUCCAAAGGUCACCUAGUGCUGCUCUAAUGUCCUGAAUGUCCAAAAGCAAAGCCCGUCCUCUCCUUUCUCUCCAAUCUCAAGCUUGAGUCAGUUUUCCUAAUGCAUGACACUUA